ACAGCAGUCGCCACGGUAAUACGUAGGGUGCAAGCGUUAAUCGGAAUUACUGGGCGUAAAGCGUGCGCAGGCGGUUUUGUAAGACAGAGGUGAAAUCCCCGGGCUCAACCUGGGAACUGCCUUUGUGACUGCAAGGCUAGAGUACGGCAGAGGGGGAUGGAAUUCCGCGUGUAGCAGUGAAAUGCGUAGAUAUGCGGAGGAACACCGAUGGCGAAGGCAAUCCCCUGGGCCUGUACUGACGCUCAUGCACGAAAGCGUGGGGAGCAAACAGGAUUAGAUACCCCUGUAGUCCCUGUCUCUUAUAC
rnacentral:rRNA from 1 species